GAAUGCCCUGUAACUGUCUUCUUGUUAUCAGAUGAUUACAUUUCUAGUGAUAUUUCAAAUUGAUACAGUUGCGACCAUUUACUUGGGACUUGUCAUAAAAAUUCAGGACCAUUAAACCAGAGCGGACAAACCAAAUCGUCUACAUUUGUGACCCUAGAAACAAAUUCAGCUGGAUUUGCUUCUGACGGCGCAUAACGCCAGUAAACACCAACAGAAAGUUCUUGUAUAUCUGCUACUCUGUUGGCUACGAAAGUUGUAAAUGAGCUGGGGUCUCUUUUAAGCCAGUGAAGGGUGACUUGAGAGUCUGACCAAAAAUUAAAUUGCCAACAGAUGAUCAGCGCAUAAUUCCAGUUGUGGAAUCGAUUUUGUUUUAAGGUAGGCCACACGAGACUUUGCUGUAAAUAACUUCGCAACUACUUUCCCCAUAUCGUGGGUGCGCAAAUAGAUGCAACAGCCAUAGGCAUGGCUAGAAGCAUCCGUAAAUCCAUGAAUUUGUACGUUGUGGUAUCUGGAUUGGAAAAAUAUCGAGGAAUGGAAAUUUUAUGUAAUUCUAAUAGGGUUUGUUUAAAUUUUUCCCAGGUUGUGUGUAGACUUAUGGGAAUAGCUUCGUCCCAAUCCAACUUCAUCCGCCAAAAGUCCUGGAGUAAAAUUAAUGUUUUAGUAAUCAAAGGACACAAUAAUCCUAACGGAUUAAACAAUCGAGAUGCAACUGAGAUAAUAUUGCGCUUAGUUGGCUUUAAAGAAUUAUAUGAGUUCUCAAGAGAAUCAUUGAAUGCAUCAGUUUUGGGAUUCGACCUCAUUCCAAGAGUUUUGACAGAUGCCAAAGGAUGAAAUUCUAGCGACUUUUCUUCACUAUUUCCAGUCAGCAAACUUUUGUAAUAAUCUCGAGCUCUUUUAAACUAUUUGCUCCUGUUAUCAUGUCAUCCGCAUAAAAAUCGUUUUUGAUGACGUGAGAAGCAAUUGGGUGAGAUUCUGCGUUGAGUUCUGCUAGUUCAAAAAGGCAACGUACGGCCAAAAAGGGAGCGGAGGCAGUGCCCUGUAGGCUGUGAAAACAUAUUUAUGCAACCGAAAUCUUGCAAGGGUUAAAUAUAGCUGCCUCUGAAUAAUUGAACAUAUCAUCAAAGUCUCGUUUAGUGAGAUUGACGUCGACGUCUUGCUUGACGCAUCGCAAAUUGGUGGUUAUACUAUCAGGACGCAGGACGCGUUGAUGGGGAAUGUAAUAAUGCAGUCCUGGAGCAGUUGACUACGUCAUCCUUUUCAAGUCUGCGCUCUCAAGCCAAAAACCGACGUUUUGCCGA